CCUACGGGUGGCAGCAGUCGAGAAUCAUUCACAAUGGGGGAAACCCUGAUGGUGCGACGCCGCGUGGGGGAAUGAAGGUCUUCGGAUUGUAAACCCCUGUCAUGUGGGAGCAAAUUAAAAAGAUAGUACUACAUGAGGACUAGACGGCUAACUCUGUGCCAGCAGCCGCGGCAAUACAGAGGUCUCAAGCGUUGUUCGGAAUCACUGGGCGUAAAGCGUGCGUAGGCUGUUUCGUAAGUCGUGUGUGAAAGGCGCGGGCUCAACCGGCAGACGGCACAAGAUACUGCUAGACUAGAGUAAUGUAGGGGGAACCGGAAUUCUCGGUGUAGCAGUGGAAUGCGUAGAUAUCGAGAGGAACACUCGUGGCGAAGGCGAGUUCCUAGACAUUAACUGACGCUGAGGCACGAAGGCCAGGGGAGCGAAAGGGAUUAGAUACCCGGGUAGUC
rnacentral:rRNA from 1 species